rnacentral:rRNA from 1 species
UACGGAGGAUGCGAGCGUUAUCCGGAUUUAUUGGGUUUAAAGGGAGCGCAGACGGGAGAUUAAGUCAGUUGUGAAAGUUUGCGGCUCAACCGUAAAAUUGCAGUUGAUACUGGUUUCCUUGAGUGCAGUUGAGGCAGGCGGAAUUCGUGGUGUAGCGGUGAAAUGCUUAGAUAUCACGAAGAACCCCGAUUGCGAAGGCAACUUGCUAAACUGUAACUGACGUUCAUGCUCGAAAGUGUGGGUAUCAAACAGG